AUUGAACGCUGGCGGCAGGCUUAACACAUGCAAGUCGAGCGGAGAUGAGGUGCUUGCACCUUAUCUUAGCGGCGGACGGGAGAGUAAUGCUUAGGAAUCUGCCUAUUAGUGGGGGACAACAUUCCGAAAGGAAUGCUAAUACCGCAUACGUCCUACGGGAGAAAGCAGGGGAUCUUCGGACCUGGCGCUAAUAGAUGAGCCUAAGUCGGAUUAGCUAGUUGGUGGGGUAAAGGCCUACCAAGGCUACGAUCUGUAGCGGGUCUGAGAGGAUGAUCCGCCACACUGGGACUGAGACACGGCCCAGACUCCUACGGGAGGCAGCAGUGGGGAAUAUUGGACAAUGGGGGGAACCCUGAUCCAGCCAUGCCGCGUGUGUGAAGAAGGCCUUAUGGUUGUAAAGCACUUUAAGCGAGGAGGAGGCUACUGAGACUAAUACUCUUGGAUAGUGGACGUUACUCGCAGAAUAAGCACCGGCUAACUCUGUGCCAGCCGCCGCUGUAA
rnacentral:rRNA from 1 species